AAGUUAUAGACUUGGAAAAAAAAAGAGCCCUAUGUUUCCAACACAGAAUAUUUCCAUCUUUACAGAAUGUUCUCUUGGGCAGCUUUGAGCCUGGCUCACGGUCUGUUCACUGAAGUCCUUUAAUACAAAGUACAUCUAUAACAGUUGGAAUUUGAGGGUUAUCCCUUUGGAGGCUAGAGCUAGAAGGAUCUGGUGGAAACGGGGAAGUGACAAGUUGAAGGCAGAUCCUCUCUCUUGGUGAAGGUUUGCAACUGUGAUCAAUGUCUUGGUGAAGGGCUCUGGCUCCAGGGAGCCCAGGGAAGGCUGAGAACCCAGAGGAAGGAGCCAGAUGAUGCUGAGUGAGCCAGCAUGGCCUCCACUGGAGGGGGAGGCACGGGUGAGCCGCUCUCUCUAAUAACUUUAUUGCUCAUGUUUGUGUCUCUGAAGAAUGGCUUGUGGAGAGCAUAUACGACUCAAGCGAGGACGAAGACUCUCUAGGUAGGGAACCACUCAGGUAGGAUUCAAGGGGAGAAGGAUCCUGGGAGAAGCUGCUGCUUUGGAGACUGGGGAGGAAGGAAGUAAAAUCAAAGAGAAAAAGGAAAUGUGUGUUCUUUUCAUGUUUUCAUGACAUAAGAAUAAGAUCUCUCAUGUCUCUUGCUUUGGGGGCUUUGGAUGUACUGUUUGUAGUUAUCUUUUCUUGCUUUAGUAUUUAAAGCUUAUCUUUCCCCCAAGACCUGCUGUUUUCUGCUUCGACCACUGCCAAACACCAAAGCCUUUGGUUGUGUUUGGUUGGCAUCUCUUGGGAAUUGAGCACUAGCGUUCUGGGGUUGGGUUUUGGGGUUGACUUACAAUGCAGGCUAUCUGGUGGGACACGACUCCCUCACAGACACUUGAACCUGCACAGUCCUUCGUGUGUGAUCCAGGUGCUGGGUGAGAAGCAGACAUUCUCCCUCUGCACGUUUAGGUCUUGUGGCAGCACCUUCAUGUCCUGUCCUCAGGUUUACUCCUGGUUUAAGGGCGCUGCCAGGGGUGGGGAAGUUAGAGGGGGCAGCAGGGACCCAAGUUCUCACCUCCACCCUAACUCUGUGCUUUCUCUUCCCAAGGCUACUCCAUCACCAUCACUGCCCUGGUACCUGCUGAAGCCUGUGUUAUAGAUUCUGAGGAUUAGGAUACAGAGACCAGCAAUCGGCACGUAAUUUAUUUCCUACUUAUGUCUCUCUUUUUAUUCUGUUUAUUUCCUAUCCGUAGACUCCUCUCUGUAGCUCUUCCCUGUUCCCUCUUUUUAUGAUUCUCAUCCUGAAGGGCCUGGUCUCAUCCAGGCACCUGAGGUCCUGGGAACUUCAAUGUCUAUAAAAUCUUUCUCCAGCCCUCCUUCCCCGCUCUCUCAGUGUCAUCCUGGCCUGUCUGCACCCUUGAGCCAUGUUGAGCAACCCUGAGUGGCCCAGGCAUAGAGGUGGGCUGGGCGUCAGAAGAGCUGUGUACCCUCUUCUGCGGGGGUUCUUCUGCACUGGAUGUCUCUGGACAUGCACAGUUGUUUUCUGCCUUUCAGCUCUCAAGAUUACACAAUUUUUUAAAAAAGGAUUAUCCCAUCAGGAAUCUGAUUCCAGAAAUCCUCUCAUCCUGGAUUCAAGAGAAUGAAUCAAGAAAGUAAAAGGAGAUGAAAAAGAACAAGAAGAGGAAAUUGGCCACAGAGCAGAACGGGCACAAUGAACGCGUCCAUGGGACUCCCUCUGUGUUGAAUCGAUGCACCAGAGGCAGCAGACAUAUCCGCAUUUCAGUGGCUACUAGAAAAUUUAUAAUUAGAUAUGUGGGUUACAUUCUCCUGGACAUCCUGGUCUAGACUCAGAGACCCUCCAACUUCCGCCAGCUGGUCCGAGUCGGCUGUGGCUCAGAUCCCCAGCAGCAGCUGAGAGGUUGAAUCAGUCAACGGGGGAAACUCGGUUCACCAUGUGGUAGAGGACUCCAACCAGGAUCUGAUUAAGGAAAAAGAGCAUCAUCUCUCCAGCCUGGGUGCUGAAACCUAGUCCUGCCUACAGCUCCUGGAGCAGAGGGCCCAAGGGUCCCUAAGUGUACACAAUAGGUCUGGGAUUGAGCUGGCCUCGGCAACACUUGCUCUAUUAAUA